rnacentral:rRNA from 1 species
AACGAACGCUGGCGGCAUGCCUAACACAUGCAAGUCGAACGGGACCGUCGGGUCUAGUGGCGCACGGGUGCGUAACGCGUGGGAACCUGCCCUUAGGUUAGGAAUAACUCCCCGAAAGGGGUGCUAAUACAGGAUAAUGUCUUCGGACCAAGGAUUUAUCGCCUUUGGAUGGGCCCGCGUUGGAUUAGCUAGUUGGUAGUGUAAAAGCCUACCAAGGCGACGAUCCAUAGCUGGUCUGAGAGGAUGAUCAGCCACACUGGGACUGCGACACGGCCCAGACUCCUACGGGAGGCAGCAGUGGGGAAUAUUGGACAAUGGGCGAAAGCCUGAUCCAGCAAUGCCGCGUGAGUGAUGAAGGCCUUAGGGUUGUAAAGCUCUUUUACCCGGGAUGAUAAUGACAGUACCGGGAGAAUAAGCACCGGCUAACUCCGUG